AUCUUCCAUUCCCACGAUUCGUCAUUCGUGUUACGACUGUGAUUGUGAAACUAUAAUAACAUAAGAUUUCUUUGUGUUCCUACGUUCCCCAUGUCAUGAAACGAGGCGAAAUGGGCGAAACAAAUUGUUGCUAAUUAUCAUGGCCAUGCUAAUUAUACUUAUAUUCCUGUGAUUUCAAAUACCAAAUUCAACUUCGUAUCUUAUAUGCAUAGCUUCUGUCAGUCAUCCCAACAAGUUGACUUAUUAUCGCUCAGUCACUUUCCAUCCAUUAGAUCCUCAUGCUGUCAAAAGCCUAAAACUCAUGUUUGAUGCACACAUAUAGUGGAAUGCAAAUGUGUGCAGAUAAGGUAUUUUCCCAUUACUGCUACCACACCAACCACACUACGUCAAAUGCCUUACUAAAUCAUCACCCAUAAGAUAAAGCAUCAGGAAAUUUAUCCCACCUGAAGAGUAAUGCAGUUGGUUGCUGUAAUUCCAUUAUUACUGUUUUCAUCAUGAACAUUUCAGUGUGCUUCUUAGAAAAGAGCAUGCAAGAUCCCCACGGACAUCCUUGAGCCAAUGCUUGAUUUUGUCCAUGACAGAAUAGGGACUUCCACCAACGUUCUACUCCAUCCUUAUCUUCAAGACGUACGCUCAUCCAGCUUAACUACUUCAGUGCUUCUUAUGCUGCUUAACAACUUUUCUUGCUUCACUGGCGAGUUGGAUCACUUCAGUCUGUGACACACCUGCAGUCACUCACCACGGGAUUAUGGCCAGGUAAUGCAGAAGAGACGUCGAGGAGAUAGAUUUAAAAUCUUUAAAAAUCGUCACCGGUCUCCGUCGGAUGUUGCCCCUGCUCCUGGUGCGAACGAAACUCGUUGGAGUGAAUAGAUAAUGCGCCAACAAAACACUUCUGGAAGUGGAAAGGGACCAUCACUGGCAACGGAAAGAGACAAUCGCGACCGGCACCGAGACUCGUCAUCAACGUGGAUCAUCGUAUUGUUGGUAUUAUUUCGUUUGUGUUAGUGUUAGUUAACCCGUUGGCUGCCACGCCUUUGUUCUCCCC